rnacentral:tRNA from 1 species
GUAGAUGUAGCUCAUUGGUAGAGCACUUACAUAGCAUAUAUGAGGUCUUGGGUUCAAUCCCCAGCACUCCA